GGGCCCGUAGCUCAGCUGGUUAGAGCAGCGGACUCAUAAUCCGUUGGUCCCUGGUUCGAAUCCAGGCGGGCCCA
rnacentral:tRNA from 2 species